rnacentral:tRNA from 2 species
CGGGAAGUAGCGAAGCUUGGUUAUCGCGCAUGCUUCGGGAGUAUGAGACCACGGGUUCGAAUCCCGUCUUCCCGACCA